AUGUCAUGCGAUACACGUUUGGUAUCGUGACAAAAUAUUCAUCUAUUGAUGAUUUGGAUAAGGCAUUUGAAAGCGAUAGUCCGUACUCCAUCAAUGACAUAAAUGAGAUUCGGGAGCAAUGGGCAAAAUACUUCUUUUCGGAGUGCGUGUAACUUUUGUUUUAUUGAUAAAUAGUUUUGUUUUGAUGAUAGUAUUGUUUUGUGCAUGUUUUGAUGAUAUUAUUAUAUUAAAGUGUAAUCGAGGAUAUAAAGUAGUAUUGUGUUUUGAUGAUAGUAUUGUGUUCAA